GACGAACGCUGGCGGCGUGCUUAACACAUGCAAGUCGAGCGGUAAGGCCCUUCGGGGUACACGAGCGGCGAACGGGUGAGUAACACGUGAGUAAUCUGCCCAUCACUUCGGGAUAACUCCGGGAAACCGGUGCUAAUACCGAAUAUGACCACUUCAGGCAUCUGAAGGUGGUGGAAAGUUCCGGCGGUGAUGGAUGAGCUCGCGGCCUAUCAGCUUGUUGGUGGGGUAGUGGCCUACCAAGGCUUCGACGGGUAGCCGGCCUGAGAGGGUGACCGGCCACACUGGGACUGAGACACGGCCCAGACUCCUACGGGAGGCAGCAGUGGGGAAUAUUGGACAAUGGGCGAAAGCCUGAUCCAGCAACGCCGCGUGAGGGAUGACGGCCUUCGGGUUGUAAACCUCUUUCAGCAGGGACGAAGCGCAAGUGACGGUACCUGCAGAAGAAGCACCGGCCAACUACGUG
rnacentral:rRNA from 1 species